GGGUUGUGAGGUUAAGCGACUAAGCGUACACGGUGGAUGCCCUGGCAGUCAGAGGCGAUGAAGGGCGUGCUAAUCUGCGAUAAGCGCCGGUAAGGUGAUAUGAACCGUUAUAACCGGCGAUACCCGAAUGGGGAAACCCAGUGUGACUCGUCACACUAUCAUUAACUGAAUCCAUAGGUUAAUGAGGCGAACCGGGGGAACUGAAACAUCUAAGUACCCCGAGGAAAAGAAAUCAACCGAGAUUCCCCCAGUAGCGGCGAGCGAACGGGGAGGAGCCCAGAGCCUGAAUCAGCAUGUGUGUUAGUGGAAGCGUCUGGAAAGGCGCGCGAUACAGGGUGACAGCCCCGUACACAAAAGCGCAUGUGCUGUGAGCUCGAUGAGUAGGGCGGGACACGUGGUAUCCUGUCUGAAUAUGGGGGGACCAUCCUCCAAGGCUAAAUACUCCUGACUGACCGAUAGUGAACCAGUACCGUGAGGGAAAGGCGAAAAGAACCCCGGCGAGGGGAGUGAAAAAGAACCUGAAACCGUGUACGUACAAGCAGUGGGAGCCCCACCACCAAAGCAUUCUCUGGUGUUGAAGGCCCUGCAAAGCAGCAUCGCGGUGGCGGAGCGUCGUUUGCGACGCCCAACACACAAAACAAGCGGUGAAUGCUUUGGGGUGGGGUGACUGCGUACCUUUUGUAUAAUGGGUCAGCGACUUAUAUUCUGUAGCAAGGUUAACCGAAUAGGGGAGCCGGAGGGAAACCGAGUCUUAAUUGGGCGUUAAGUUGCAGGGUAUAGACCCGAAACCCGGUGAUCUAGCCAUGGGCAGGUUGAAGGUUGGGUAACACUAACUGGAGGACCGAACCGACUAAUGUUGAAAAAUUAGCGGAUGACCUGUGGCUGGGGGUGAAAGGCCAAUCAAACCGGGAGAUAGCUGGUUCUCCCCGAAAGCUAUUUAGGUAGCGCCUCGUGAAUUCAUCUCCGGGGGUAGAGCACUGUUUCGGCUAGGGGGCCAUCCCGGCUUACCAACCCGAUGCAAACUGCGAAUACCGGAGAAUGUUAUCACGGGAGACACACGGCGGGUGCUAACGUCCGUCGUGAAGAGGGAAACAACCCAGACCGCCAGCUAAGGUCCCAAAGUCAUGGUUAAGUGGGAAACGAUGUGGGAAGGCCCAGACAGCCAGGAUGUUGGCUUAGAAGCAGCCAUCAUUUAAAGAAAGCGUAAUAGCUCACUGGUCGAGUCGGCCUGCGCGGAAGAUGUAACGGGGCUAAACCAUGCACCGAAGCUGCGGCAGCGACGCUGAUGCGUUGUUGGGUAGGGGAGCGUUCUGUAAGCCUGCGAAGGUGACCUGUGAGGGUUGCUGGAGGUAUCAGAAGUGCGAAUGCUGACAUAAGUAACGAUAAAGCGGGUGAAAAGCCCGCUCGCCGGAAGACCAAGGGUUCCUGUCCAACGUUAAUCGGGGCAGGGUGAGUCGACCCCUAAGGCGAGGCCGAAAGGCGUAGUCGAUGGGAAACGGGUUAAUAUUCCCGUACUUGGUGUUACUGCGAAGGGGGGACGGAGAAGGCUAUGUUGGCCGGGCGACGGUUGUCCCGGUUUAAGCGUGUAGGUGUGUGUUCCAGGUAAAUCCGGUUCACUUUAACACUGAGGCGUGACGACGAGGCACUACGGUGCUGAAGCAACAAAUGCCCUGCUUCCAGGAAAAGCCUCUAAGCAUCAGGUAACAUCAAAUCGUACCCCAAACCGACACAGGUGGUCAGGUAGAGAAUACCAAGGCGCUUGAGAGAACUCGGGUGAAGGAACUAGGCAAAAUGGUGCCGUAACUUCGGGAGAAGGCACGCUGACACGUAGGUGAAGUGAUUUACUCACGGAGCUGAAGUCAGUCGAAGAUACCAGCUGGCUGCAACUGUUUAUUAAAAACACAGCACUGUGCAAACACGAAAGUGGACGUAUACGGUGUGACGCCUGCCCGGUGCCGGAAGGUUAAUUGAUGGGGUCAGCGCAAGCGAAGCUCCUGAUCGAAGCCCCGGUAAACGGCGGCCGUAACUAUAACGGUCCUAAGGUAGCGAAAUUCCUUGUCGGGUAAGUUCCGACCUGCACGAAUGGCGUAAUGAUGGCCAGGCUGUCUCCACCCGAGACUCAGUGAAAUUGAACUCGCUGUGAAGAUGCAGUGUACCCGCGGCAAGACGGAAAGACCCCGUGAACCUUUACUAUAGCUUGACACUGAACAUUGAGCCUUGAUGUGUAGGAUAGGUGGGAGGCUUUGAAGUGUGGACGCCAGUCUGCAUGGAGCCGACCUUGAAAUACCACCCUUUAAUGUUUGAUGUUCUAACGUGGACCCGUAAUCCGGGUUGCGGACAGUGUCUGGUGGGUAGUUUGACUGGGGCGGUCUCCUCCUAAAGAGUAACGGAGGAGCACGAAGGUUGGCUAAUCCUGGUCGGACAUCAGGAGGUUAGUGCAAUGGCAUAAGCCAGCUUGACUGCGAGCGUGACGGCGCGAGCAGGUGCGAAAGCAGGUCAUAGUGAUCCGGUGGUUCUGAAUGGAAGGGCCAUCGCUCAACGGAUAAAAGGUACUCCGGGGAUAACAGGCUGAUACCGCCCAAGAGUUCAUAUCGACGGCGGUGUUUGGCACCUCGAUGUCGGCUCAUCACAUCCUGGGGCUGAAGUAGGUCCCAAGGGUAUGGCUGUUCGCCAUUUAAAGUGGUACGCGAGCUGGGUUUAGAACGUCGUGAGACAGUUCGGUCCCUAUCUGCCGUGGGCGCUGGAGAACUGAGGGGGGCUGCUCCUAGUACGAGAGGACCGGAGUGGACGCAUCACUGGUGUUCGGGUUGUCAUGCCAAUGGCACUGCCCGGUAGCUAAAUGCGGAAGAGAUAAGUGCUGAAAGCAUCUAAGCACGAAACUUGCCCCGAGAUGAGUUCUCCCUGAGACUUUAGGUCUCCUGAAGGAACGUUGAAGACGACGACGUUGAUAGGCCGGGUGUGUAAGCGCAGCGAUGCGUUGAGCUAACCGGUACUAAUGAACCGUGAGGCUUAACCUUACAACGCCGAAG
rnacentral:rRNA from 1 species